AGAGGGGCCUCCUGUGUCCUAUCCAGCAGAAAGAGCAAGAAAGACUCCAAGGUGUUGCACAGGGGCGGAGACCAGGGCUCUGAAGAUUUCUUAGAAGAACAGGCAGGUCCAUGCCAAGAGUCCUUCAAAAGGUGGCCUGUGUCCGUGCUGACCACGAAGACGACCAGUAGAUGCCUUUGACUUCCCUGGAAUCGCAGGGCAGCCAGCUUCCCGGGAGGCACUUGAGCUGCGAGGGGCGAAUGUGGCCAUCGGACAGGAUCCUGCUCAGGAUCAGGAAUAAGAAGAGGGGAACCGCAGUCGGGUUUCAUUGUGAUACCCGGGGCAAAACUAGCAACAGACGUGGGCAGGACAAAGAACUGGCCUGAGACAAUAAUUUGUGUCAAGACUCCAUCCAAUCACCAGGCCCUGCUGCAUUCACGUUCUCCUGAUUUAUGUCUCAGCUCCCAGAAUGCCAGGUGCCUGCAGCAUGAGGAGGUGGAGGCUUUGGCAGGUGUUCUGCCAGCACGGAUCAGAUUUAUCACCAAAUUAAACACAACUGUGAAUUUGGAAGAAAAAUUGUCAAAUUCACAAAGUAUGCCACAGAUUAGCCCAAAUACAGUUGCUUCUAAC